rnacentral:rRNA from 1 species
GUGGGGAAUCUUGCGCAAUGGGCGAAAGCCUGACGCAGCGACGCCGCGUGGAGGAUGAAGGCCUUCGGGUUGUAAACUCCUGUCAGAGGAGAAGAAUCUCCGAGCAAUCGGAGUUGACGGUAUCCUCAGAGGAAGCCCCGGCUAACUACGUGCCAGCAGCCGCGGUAAUACGUAGGGGGCAAACGUUACUCGGAAUUACUGGGCGUAAAGGGUGUGUAGGUGGCUGAGCAAGUCAAUGAUGAAAUACCAAGGCUCAACCUUGGAAUUGUUGUUGAAACUGCUCAGCUUGAGGAUAGUCGAGGAGAACGGAAUUCCCGGUGGAGCGGUGAAAUGCGUAGAUAUCGGGAGGAACACCAGAGGCGAAGGCGGUUCUCUGGGCUAUUCCUGACACUGAAACACGAAAGCUAGGGGAGCAAACGGGAUUAGAAACCCUGGUAGUCC